rnacentral:rRNA from 1 species
UGGGGAAUUUUGGACAAUGGGCGCAAGCCUGAUCCAGCCAUGCCGCGUGUGUGAAGAAGGCCUUCGGGUUGUAAAGCACUUUCGGACGGAACGAAAUCGCGCGGGCGAAUACCCCGCGUGGAUGACGGUACCGUAAGAAGAAGCACCGGCUAACUACGUGCCAGCAGCCGCGGUAAUACGUAGGGUGCGAGCGUUAAUCGGAAUUACUGGGCGUAAAGCGUGCGCAGGUGGCGUCGCAAGUCAGGCGUGAAAUCCCCGAGCUCAACUUGGGAAUUGCGCUUGAAACUACGGUGCUGGAGUGCGGCAGAGGGAGGUGGAAUUCCACGUGUAGCGGUGAAAUGCGUAGAGAUGUGGAGGAACACCGAUGGCGAAGGCAGCCUCCUGGGUCGACACUGACGCUCAUGCACGAAAGCGUGGGGAGCAAACA